AAAUGCUUCUGGGUCUGCAGAGGAGCAAGCUGCGCUGGCCCACGAGGCCCUUCUCCCCGGGGCAGAUGGAUUUCAGGCGCCCCCCACCCCUUGAGGAGAAUAUCAAGGAAAUGGACAGAAGAGUAUAUUACAACUAUCAUCUCUGCCCUUGGCCUCGUGAGGGUCGCUGGGCUGGGACAAAGUCCUGCCUGGGCAGUUGACAUCAAAAUUCGUCGUGCCUUGCCUGCUUUAUGUGGGCAAAAGGAUGAAAGAAUUGCACUUCUGUUGCGCUUCCACUGCUAGAUCAUAAGCUCCCUGAAAACACGUUGCAUCUGUGUCUCUAGCAACUUCCACAAAUGUUUGGAGAAUAAAUUAAUGUGUGGCAGGGCGCGGUCCCUGUGAACUCUAACUGUGCUCUUUUUCUCUGUGACAGAAAAGGAGACAUUGCAGAGAAUCAACCUGUGCCUGCAGCUAGGGAUUCGUUAAUUACUUUGUUCCCUCUUUUCCUCCCUCCCUCCCUUCCUCCUUUCCUUUCGCUAACAUUUUGAUGGAUACCUCAUGUGUGCUGGAGAUCAGGCGGUGGACCAGGGAUACAAGAAACGAGACUCCUAGCCCUUGAGAUGCUCUUCAUGUGGGGUCAUUACUUAGGGAUCAGCAAUUUGCUAAAGAUGAACAGAUUCUAAGAAGAUGGUUUUCCAGCAGCAACCAAUUUUAAAUCUGGACUGUGCACCAGGCACCUCUUGGAUGGACAGCCCUGAAACAUCUUUCAUGCAACUCCUCAGGCAGCCCAGAAACAGCCAGGAACCAUUCGCCAGGAGCUGUGGCCAACUUAAUAACUCAUCCUUGUAUUGGUUUCCAUCCUCUGUCCUUCAUCCGUCUUGUCUUUUACUCCUACUUGCUGGAUCACACAUCCCAAUAAAUUUUUGCACUCAAGCGUUUGUCUCAGGAUCUGCUGUCCGGAGGACCAAGACUAAGUUCAAGUCAUAUUUUUUUUUUUUUGAGAUGGAAUCUCACUCUGUUGCCCAGGCUGGAGUGCAGCGGCAUGAUUUUGAUUCACUGCAACGUCCACCUCCCGGGUUCAAGUGAUUGUCCUGCCUCAGCCUCAUGAGUAGCUGGGAUUACAGGUGCACGCCACCACACCUGGCUAAUUUUUGUAUUUUUAGUAGAGACAGGGUUUCACCAUGUUGGUCAGGCUGGUCUCAAACUCCUGGCCUCG
rnacentral:lncRNA from 1 species